GCUCGCAGUCUUAAGGCUAGCUUCCUCCGGGUCCUGCGGGCUCUCCUUUCUCCACUUCCAGCCAACAUGUUUCAGUGUGAAAUGUUGAAUCUAGAUUUGCUGAGGUGAUAUACCGGCCUAGGUUUGGUAGGGGUUAGUUGCAUUUUUGUUUAAUUCUGUUUUCUCCUGUUUCUGUUACACUAAGGGUUAGGUUAGCGAUUUGUUCCUUUUGUUUAAGUAGGUGAUCUUAGGUUGCUUAGCUUAAGUUCCCUUUUGUUUAUUAUUUUGCAGUUAGCCCACCCAGUAGCUUGAAAGAUUUGAAAUAAAACCUUUAAAGGGCUGCAAAUCCUUUGUUGCUGGUGGUUCUAGGGAGCAGGGAAGAGGGGAGUCUCAUUUUUUUCAUGUUGUGUCCGGGUUUCCCCUCGGCCAGGUCGCAACACUGCAUCGAGGGAUCUUGUCAAACAGCUAGCGUCUCGCAUGCAGCCUCUUCUCUGUUGAGAAAGCCCGAGGUAGUCUGAUUGGAGGUGAAAGGAGGGAAGCGAGAGCGAAGGAGCAGCAGCCGAGUAUUCUCCCAGUUUGCUGCGUAAGGCCCCGGCUGAAAACCUCAUUACUUGUGUCUGUGGGAGAUGGACGCGUUUGGCUCGUCAGCAGAGAGCAGCCGGAGAUUUAGGGGCUUCGACGGCGCCUCUGCGGCACGGCUGCAAGGCAUUCUGGGAAGGCUGCCCCUGUCAGAGGACCACUGACAGCUUGUCCUGCUCUUGUUAUACAGCCAUGCGUGAUCCCCACCCAUUAGUAGGCCAAUGACACAGUUGACUUGCUGUCUACAGGAGGGCGAGGGCCCGGGAGGGAAGGCUCUUUACCAGCCAUGAUGCUCCUGUUUACUGCAUUAAUGCUGUCACCCGGUCGACACUGUCUGCUAGAGAAACGGAUUUCUUUCUGUGUAUAUUUGUUUUUCUAUGUAUCUAUGUAUUCAACAGUUUCUUGUUUUACAUAAUUCUAUUUUGUCGGAACAAGUUGUUUAUUUUGUGCAAGCAAGAGUCCAGUAUCAUGAAAUGAAGUACAGAUACACUAUUAAAACAGAGCAGCACUUCAAAAAAGACAAGAUAUGGUGAUAAAUUAAUAAAAUAUAAGAUUGGCUUUAGGAUGAAGAUGAUUUACUAUAAAUUUUAAUUUGCCUCUCUACCAUGUAGCUUGAACACUUUCAGCUCAGCAUGUCAUCUAUUCUUUACAUGCAGGGACGUGAUUAAACCGAGCCAAAGAGGUUGAUUCAUUUUCAUAGUGGCGUUUCAUUAGUUCUUUAAUAUUUCCAAAUCCAUCAUUUAUGUAUUUCUAUAAUUCAUUGCACUUCCUGUUUGUUGUAUUUUGUCUCAAUAUAUAUCAUUUCACUAAUUGUUUUUAAAUAUGCCACACUGACCACACCUUUUGGGUAAGGACCUCCUCUACAUGAACCUGAAUAUAUGAAUUUCUCCUGCUUAUGGAGCUAUUAUGGUGUCACUUGUCUCCAAUUUUUGAGCCUUUUUGCCAGUCUGGGAAUGUGACUGGUCUCAAACCACAUGACCAUAUAUCCAGCCCAUCUACAUGUUAAUACCCCCUGGGCUGACAAAUCUUUUAUAUUUUUGUAACCUUUGUAAAUGAUUUUUUGUUUCUCACCUGUCUCAUUUAAAUGUAAUGUGUUGAAUACUGACCCUGAUGAAGGCCACUAAUCAAAACGCAUUAGUCUCAUAAUAAAGUUGUUCUUUAUGCUACAAGUGUUGCAGGAGUCUCGACCCCUUCAAACUCAGAAUGUCAUACAAUUAAAUUUUCGCUUUUGUCUUCGGCCGGCAUUAUCAGCGGGGGAAUUUUUUUACAGACAGUAAUCUCAAGGUGUUAGUAUUCUUCAGAUGAAGUGCCUGUGGGUUUGUCAUACAGCAUCUGAAACACUUCACCCCACAGCUGUCUGACUUUAGGGGAGCCGUGUCUGACAAUUUUUGUAACUCUCCAAAAACAA